rnacentral:rRNA from 1 species
GAUAUUGAAAUGGGCCACUUCCGGUGUCGUUAGUAGUCGCUGUAAAUCUUGUUCUGGACCGGAGAUGCGGGAUGACCCGAAGGUGGUGAUGAAGUGCCAAAGUGCUCGCUCC